UGGAGAGAAGUUUGAUAUUGUGUUGGUUCCUUCUCCUUUGCAUCCCUUUUUAAUGUCUUGAGCAUCGAUGUAGCGGAAACCAUGUAGGCUCUUGAUGACAUUGACCACAUCCUUGUGUUGGGAUGCGAAUUGGCCUGAAUCUGGGAUUUCUUCGGUCGUAUUGCUUCUUCUGCCAUUGUUGAAUGCAAACCACUAUCAAACCCUGACAGCAUAUUUGGUUGGAUGGAAUAGCCUAUGCAUUCCAACUCUAUUCAAUGGGCCCACUAUAAACUGUUGUUUGGUUUAAAGUAAUAGCCCAUUAUGGGUCGAAUGGAAUCAGCCUCUAUUACUGGACAACUUGUAUUAGCAAUUCAGGGGUUGGGGGUCUGAAUUGCUAUUCAAAACCACCCGUAAUAACAUUUUUCCUUUUUUGGACCAAAAUAGCAUGCCUCUCUUCUUCAUCGUUUUCACUUUCACUUCAGGUUUCUUCCUCGACAUUUAUCCCCAAAGUGAAGCCUAGAAAUUAGCUCCUUAAUCGACCAAAAAUCAAGCAUCCAUUCGCUAUCUUCAUCUUCCUUCUAGUUGAACCUCCUUAUUUACAGUAAGCUUGAUUGUAUGCUUUGAAGAUAUAGUUUUGCUUUAUAAUUUUUGUAAUUUCUGUAAGUUUAUCAUCAAGACGUGUUGCAUUCUUGUUGUAAUAUGUUUUGUAUCUAACAAGACAUGCCCUUUCAAGGUACGAUUCUUAGGAGCUAAACUUGAGUCACUUAUAUUCAAAUAGAGGGUUUUAGCUUCUCAUGUAUAAGCUAUUGGUAUAUGCAAGAAAUUGUUUGCUCUGACUA